UCCAAUAUUAACUUGUUAGUGUUUCUAAGCACUCGGCAGGUUUCACAUCAUCUGCCAUUUAAAACACACAACCCACUCAAGUGGACGUAUAUUUUGGACAGCACCAACUAGGUGUAGAUGGGAAAUCGCUUUCGGAAGUUGGGCAAGCUAGCUGGUGGUGAGCUCCACUUUUUUGGGGGGCAGCCGACUGCGUUGAGCAACUCAAUUAGUGAGGAGGCGGGUAUGAUUUUAUUAGAUGAAUGCAAAGGGGGUGUUAUUUGGAGCCAGGUAUCCCAGGAGUUUCAAUGGCCUCAAGUGGUGGCAACGAACUCGUCGUAGACGCCAGACUCACCCACCUGGAGCAGCCGCACACUGUAUCUUGCUUAUCAUUCACGCCUCACGUCAGUGGCAAUUAGCAGAUGAGCGGAGAAGCUGAACUUGCUCCACUGUCCCACUGUCCCCUGUGCCCUGCACAUGAUGUGUUGCGAUUAUUAAUUUCUUGAUUGCGACAGCGGAAGGGUAACCCUAGUUUAUGGCGUGCCAUGUAAGCCAAGUUAACGAAGCAGCAAUGCCAAUUAGAUGCUAUCAUCAGGCGGCGUUGGGAGUCCGUGAAGGAGUCGUCACAGAUGACACAAGGGGGAAACCCUUUUCUUCUGCUGCCAGAACAAAGACGUUGACUUGACUUACACAACCCAACACAAGUGGGUCGGGUAGACUCGAUGACAUCAAUUGAAUGGCCUGGUCUUUGACCGCAGUGCUUCUGCCAGGAGUCAUCGCAUUCCGAUGCGGGCGAAGUAAUUGCCAUGGAGCAUUCAGUGGAGUGGACUACAAGAGAAGUCGGACAACGGGUAAAUUGCCAAUUGAAGCUCGACUUGAAGGCAUCCCAUGGCUGGCUAGUUGCGUAACUCGGGAAAUUGCACUGGACAGCAGAAUCUAGCGGGCCAGAAGCAGGCGGAACAAGCAUCUCAUUACUGGCUAAUUUAUGUUGACGUUACACGGGAAUUAUACAAAUUAAAGUUGCAGCGACAUGGGGCUCUUACCUUACCAAUUAAGAGUUCUUUGUAUCACACCGAAAUCGAGGAAGCCCGUUUCAUAAACGUUGCAAGGAAAUAAAGCACAUAAAACUGA